UGCAGCCUGCAACUCGGCUGCAUGAAGCUGGAAUCGCUAGUAAUCGCAGAUCAGAAUGCUGCGGUGAAUACGUUCCCGGGUCUUGUACACACCGCCCGUCACACCAUGGGAGUUGGGAAUGCCCGAAGUCAGUGACCCAACCGCAAGGAGGGAGCUGCCGAAGGCAGGCUUGAUAACUGGGGUGAAGUCGUAACAAGGUAAC
rnacentral:rRNA from 1 species